UACGGGGGGGGCAAGCGUUGUUCGGAAUUACUGGGCGUAAAGGGCUCGUAGGCGGCCCACUAAGUCAGACGUGAAAUCCCCAGGCUCAACCUGGGAACUGCGUCUGAUACUGGAUGGCUUGAAUCCGGGAGAGGGAUGCAGAAUUCCAGGUGUAGCGGUGAAAUGCGUAGAUAUCUGGAGGAAUACCGGUGGCGAAGGCGGCAUCCUGGACCGGCAUUGACGCUGAGGAGCGAAAGCCAGGGGAGCAAACGGG
rnacentral:rRNA from 1 species